GAUGAAGAACGUAGCGAAAUGCGAUAAGUAAUGUGAAUUGCAGAAUUCAGUGAAUCAUCGAGUCUUUGAACGCACAUUGCGCCCCCUGGUAUUCCGGGGGGCAUGCCUGUCCGAGCGUCAUUGCCGCCCUCAAGCACGGCUUGUGUGUUGGGCCCCCGCCCCCCGGCUUCGGGGGGCGGGCCCGAAAGGCAGCGGCGGCACCGCGUCCGGUCCUCGAGCGUAUGGGGCUUCGUCACCCGCUCUGUAGGCCCGGCCGGCGCCCGCCGGCGACCCCAAUCAAUCUUUCCAGGUUGACCUCGGAUCAGGUAGGGGUACCCGCUGAACUUAAGCAUAUCAAUAAGCGGAGGA
rnacentral:misc_RNA from 1 species